UAUGGCGACCGGCGCACGGGUGAGUAACACGUAUCCAACCUGCCGAUGACUCGGGGAUAGCCUUUCGAAAGAAAGAUUAAUACCCGAUGGCAUAGUUCUUCCGCAUGGUAGAACUAUUAAAGAAUUUCGGUCAUCGAUGGGGAUGCGUUCCAUUAGGCAGUUGGUGGGGUAAUGGCCCACCAAACCUUCGAUGGAUAGGGGUUCUGAGAGGAAGGUCCCCCACAUUGGAACUGAGACACGGUCCAAACUCCUACGGGAGGCAGCAUG
rnacentral:rRNA from 1 species